GACGAACGCUGGCGGCGUGCUUAACACAUGCCAGUCGAACGGAAAGGCCCUGCUUUUGUGGGGUGCUCGAGUGGCGAACGGGUGAGUAACACGUGAGUAACCUGCCCUUGACUUUGGGAUAACUUCAGGAAACUGGGGCUAAUACCGGAUAGGAGCUCCUGCUGCAUGGUGGGGGGUGGAAAGGUUCGGCGGUUGGGGAUGGGCUCGCGGCUUAUCAGCUUGUUGGUGGGGUAGUGGCUUACCAAGGCUUUGACGGGUAGCCGGCCUGAGAGGGUGACCGGCCACAUUGGGACUGAGAUACGGCCCAGACUCCUACGGGAGGCAGCAGUGGGGAAUAUUGCACAAUGGGCGGAAGCCUGAUGCAGCAACGCCGCGUGCGGGAUGACGGCCUUCGGGUUGUAAACCGCUUUCGCCUGUGACGAAGCGUGAGUGACGGUAAUGGGUAAAGAAGCACCGGCUAACUACGUG
rnacentral:rRNA from 1 species